CACUAUCGUUAACUGAAUACAUAGGUUAACGAGGCGAACCGGGGGAACUGAAACAUCUAAGUACCCCGAGGAAAAGAAAUCAACCGAGAUUCCCCCAGUAGCGGCGAGCGAACGGGGAGCAGCCCAGAGUCUGAAUCAGCUUGUGUGUUAGUGGAACGGUCUGGAAAGUCCGACGGUACAGGGUGAUAGUCCCGUACACCAAAAUGCACAGGUUGUGAACUCGAAGAGUAGGGCGGGACACGUGGUAUCCUGUCUGAAUAUGGGGGGACCAUCCUCCAAGGCUAAAUACUCCUGACUGACCGAUAGUGAACCAGUACCGUGAGGGAAAGGCGAAAAGAACCCCGGCGAGGGGAGUGAAAAAGAACCUGAAACCGUGUACGUACAAGCAGUGGGAGCACCUUUAUGGUGUGACUGCGUACCUUUUGUAUAAUGGGUCAGCGACUUAUAUUCUGUAGCAAGGUUAACCGUAUAGGGGAGCCGCAGGGAAACCGAGUCUUAACUGGGCGUUAAGUUGCAGGGUAUAGACCCGAAACCCGGUGAUCUAGCCAUGGGCAGGUUGAAGGUUGGGUAACACUAACUGGAGGACCGAACCGACUAAUGUUGAAAAAUUAGCGGAUGACUUGUGGCUGGGGGUGAAAGGCCAAUCAAACCGGGAGAUAGCUGGUUCUCCCCGAAAGCUAUUUAGGUAGCGCCUCGUGAACUCAUCUUCGGGGGUAGAGCACUGUUUCGGCUAGGGGGUCAUCCCGACUUACCAACCCGAUGCAAACUACGAAUACCGAAGAAUGUUAUCACGGGAGACACACGGCGGGUGCUAACGUCCGUCGUGAAGAGGGAAACAACCCAGACCGCCAGCUAAGGUCCCAAAGUCACAGUUAAGUGGGAAACGAUGUGGGAAGGCACAGACAGCCAGGAUGUUGGCUUAGAAGCAGCCAUCAUUUAAAGAAAGCGUAAUAGCUCACUGGUCGAGUCGGCCUGCGCGGAAGAUGUAACGGGGCUAAACUGUGCACCGAAGCUGCGGCAGCGACACUAUGUGUUGUUGGGUAGGGGAGCGUUCUGUAAGCCUGCGAAGGUGGCCUGUGAGGGUUGCUGGAGGUAUCAGAAGUGCGAAUGCUGACAUAAGUAACGAUAAUGCGGGUGAAAAGCCCGCACGCCGGAAGACCAAGGGUUCCUGUCCAACGUUAAUCGGGGCAGGGUGAGUCGACCCCUAAGGCGAGGCCGAAAGGCGUAGUCGAUGGGAAACAGGUUAAUAUUCCUGUACUUGGUGUUACUGCGAAGGGGGGACGGAGAAGGCUAUGUUAGCCGGGCGACGGUUGUCCCGGUUUAAGCAUGUAGGCGGAGGUUCCAGGUAAAUCCGGUACCUUUUUAACGCUGAGGUGUGAUGACGAGGCACUACGGUGCUGAAGUAACAAAUGCCCUGCUUCCAGGAAAAGCCUCUAAGCAUCAGGUAACAUUAAAUCGUACCCCAAACCGACACAGGUGGUCAGGUAGAGAAUACCAAGGCGCUUGAGAGAACUCGGGUGAAGGAACUAGGCAAAAUGGUGCCGUAACUUCGGGAGAAGGCACGCUGAUAUGUAGGUGAAGCCCCUGCGGGUGGAGCUGAAAUCAGUCGAAGAUACCAGCUGGCUGCAACUGUUUAUUAAAAACACAGCACUGUGCAAACACGAAAGUGGACGUAUACGGUGUGACGCCUGCCCGGUGCCGGAAGGUUAAUUGAUGGGGUUAUCCGUAAGGAGAAGCUCUUGAUCGAAGCCCCGGUAAACGGCGGCCGUAACUAUAACGGUCCUAAGGUAGCGAAAUUCCUUGUCGGGUAAGUUCCGACCUGCACGAAUGGCGUAAUGAUGGCCAGGCUGUCUCCACCCGAGACUCAGUGAAAUUGAACUCGCUGUGAAGAUGCAGUGUACCCGCGGCAAGACGGAAAGACCCCGUGAACCUUUACUAUAGCUUGACACUGAACAUUGAGCCUUGAUGUGUAGGAUAGGUGGGAGGCUUUGAAGCGUGGACGCCAGUCUGCGUGGAGCCAACCUUGAAAUACCACCCUUUAAUGUUUGAUGUUCUAACGUUGGCCCCUUAUCGGGGUUGCGGACAGUGUCUGGUGGGUAGUUUGACUGGGGCGGUCUCCUCCCAAAGAGUAACGGAGGAGCACGAAGGUUAGCUAAUCCUGGUCGGACAUCAGGAGGUUAGUGCAAUGGCAUAAGCUAGCUUGACUGCGAGCGUGACGGCGCGAGCAGGUGCGAAAGCAGGUCAUAGUGAUCCGGUGGUUCUGAAUGGAAGGGCCAUCGCUCAACGGAUAAAAGGUACUCCGGGGAUAACAGGCUGAUACCGCCCAAGAGUUCAUAUCGACGGCGGUGUUUGGCACCUCGAUGUCGGCUCAUCACAUCCUGGGGCUGAAGUAGGUCCCAAGGGUAUGGCUGUUCGCCAUUUAAAGUGGUACGCGAGCUGGGUUUAGAACGUCGUGAGACAGUUCGGUCCCUAUCUGCCGUGGGCGCUGGAGAAUUGAGGGGGGCUGCUCCUAGUACGAGAGGACCGGAGUGGACGCAUCACUGGUGUUCGGGUUGUCAUGCCAAUGGCAUUGCCCGGUAGCUAAAUGCGGAAGAGAUAAGUGCUGAAAGCAUCUAAGCACGAAACUUGCCCCGAGAUGAGUUCUCCCUGACUCCUUGAGAGUCCUGAAGGAACGUUAAAGACGAUGACGUUGAUAGGUCGGGUGUGUAAGCGUAGCGAUACGUUGAGCUAACCGAUACUAAUGAACCGUGAGGCUUAACCUU
rnacentral:rRNA from 1 species